rfam:Methyloglobulus morosus KoM1 MGMO_74c, whole genome shotgun sequence.
GGGCAAGAUAGGUGAAGUUAGCUAACCUGUGGACAGGUCAUCUAUCUUCACUGACCUUAUUCGCGCUCCGCUCUCAACGGUAUCUUGUCCUGCCGGGCA